rnacentral:rRNA from 1 species
UACGUAGGAUGCAAGCGUUGUCCGGAUUUACUGGGCGUAAAGCGCGCGCAGGCGGCAGUACAAGUACCCUCUGAAAUCUCCUUGCUCAACGAGGAGGGUGGAGGGUAGACUGUGCAGCUAGAGGAGGGUAGAGGGGGGUAGAAUUGCUGGUGUAGCGGUGAAAUGCGUAGAGAUCAGCAGGAAUACCCGUGGCGAAGGCGGCCCCCCUGGGACGGUACUGACGCUGAGACGCGAAAGCGUGGGGAGCGAACAGG